GAUGGACAUUAGGAUGAUUCAUUAGCCUUCUAUAUACGAAGUCCUGUGGUGCCCAUAAUAGGGCCGGGCAAUACGAAGACCUGUGGUGCCCAUAAUAGGGCCGGGCAAUAACUCCGAGUACGAAGACCUGUGGUGCCCAUAAUAGGGCCGGGCAAUACGAAGUCCUGUGGUGCCCAUAAUAGGGUCGGGCAUGGAGUUGAGGGAUUUUUGAAUCAGUCCAUCCGUGGUGUGAUUUGUUUGUGCAGUGACGCAUUUCAUGAUAGCAUGUUUUAAAUAUUUUCUUUUAUAGUUCUACUCACUGGGUAUCUAGCUCACCCCUCUCCCCUAACCCCCAGGUUUGCAGGUACGGGAUAGAUAGAGAAGGCAAGACGAGAAAAAGUCAUAUGUAUGUAAUAGUUAGUUUGUGGACAUGACAAUUGUAUUAUGAUGAGAUGUAAAAACAUUCAGGAUAUUAUGUAAUGAGGUUAUUGAGGAUAGAGUUGCGCUUGACCAUAAUAUAUUGUUAAUCCCUUUUGUAUAUACAUGAUCUUAUGUUAUGAUGUUUAUGUAAACUAACUCAACACAGGUUGUUUUGCCUUUAAGGCUUGAUGAGAUCCCACAGAGGGACUAUGUUAUGUAUAUGAUCAGAGUAUGCACAGGUUGAGUUAGUUGAUGACAGUAUGUAUGAAGAAAAGUUUUAAUUUUUAUGCAUGUUGUUGAUCAUGUAUGGGAUUAUACAGGUUUACAGGUUAUAUGUCAGGCUUGCUACGGGUCCCGGCGGCCUUAAGUCGACCCGGACCCUAGCGCCGGUAGCGGUCCGG
rnacentral:lncRNA from 1 species